AUGAAGUUUGAUUUAGAAGAUAGGAGAAUGGAAAUCGACAAGGAGGUGAGGAUACGACAACUGGAGCUAGACGCUGGCUCCAGUGCGACUCCACAACCUGCUCCUCAUCAAGCCCUCUUCAAUAGUUGGAUUCUUCGCGGGAACAGGAGUCUGAUGUCAGUGCUACUGGCCCUCAGCCCAGCUACAGAAGUCUUCGGACCCUGGCCAGUGCAGUAUGUCGACGUGCCUAUGAUCAGACAGCAGCAACGCACCAAGAGUCAAGGUCAGGAUCUGGUCACACGUAUCCCCGGUGUGUCUCCACUGGUAAGAGCCAGCUGUCAGUUUAGUCUCGGACCCAGACACUGUAAAUAAUUGUGGAGGAAUUCAAUUAAACAUUUCAUAUUUUCACUGAUUUGCUCUAGAUGCAGCAGAAUUGGUCAACCAAAAUAACAUCUUGUCAUCCCAAUUAGGUACUACACAGUCAGUCUAUUUGAGGUAAAAUUUGUGAAUUUUGACCUCUGGUUAGCACAUAGUAGUUGUUGCAGGAAUCAUGGAGAGGGAAAGGCAUGCCUGUGGAAAGACACUUAUAAAAAUGUAUCCUUAUUAGUUACAGCCAGCAUAUAAUUUCUGUAUUUAUGGAAAUACUGACAAUUCUCCAUGAUUUUUACAUGUGAAUGAGAUGUGUGGUCAUUUAUGAAAUUAGGUAUAAUUAUUCAGGUUAUUAAUAGAGUAAUUGCAUACUCUUUAGAAUGGGUAAUUCAACACACAUUCUAAAGCCUUAAAUCAUUCCCUCUCUGGGAAUCACGUCAAUUAGUUCUCAAUAACAGCAGGGGUUACUGUAGUUAGGCAGUUGAAAUCCCAAUAGAAAUUGAGUGUUGAAGAGAGACAAGGAGAUACAGACAGCGGGAGCUAUGUGCACAGCUUUAGCAAUUAGGCCAAAAGGGACUGGUCUUUUUCACGCAGCCCUAUGCUUUUAAAAGACAAAUAGUCCAGGACACAAUAGCUCAAUAUACAGCAAAUACAGUUGAAUUGAAGCAAAUUUACUUGAAUCAUUGAGAUUAUCAGUUAACACGUUGAGUAUUGAUAUCUACUGAUACUGUAGAUCUUGGUUGUAGUGUGAUUCCAGGUAGGCGGGAGCAGAAAAUAUUUUUGGUAUCUCAGAUUGUUUGGCAAUUCUCACAAAUAAACUUUAUUGGAAGGAAGGAUGUUUGAAGUCAUUUUUACAUUUGUAUCACAAACUAUUUCUGAGAAAAUCCUGAAUAAAGUGGUCAUUUUAGGCCAUUUUUAGACCAAUACAUUCAUCCUGUAAGACCCUAUGAUCUGUGAACCGUACAUGAUACAGACAACAUCUUGGUGUCAUUAUCCUCCUUUAUAGUGUGCUCUAAAAUAUGGUGUAUGUCUAGAUUCUGAAAUAAAAAUGUCACAUUCAUUUAUUCAACAUUUAACAUAAUAUCUCAAAACUACCCUUUUAAUAUUGUGUUCAUUUCAAGACAUAUUGUUUGGAACUCUACAAGUACAUCCAAUUCUUAAGGUAUGAUGCAAUGUAUGCAUACCACCAACAAACAGCGAAUUGGGAAAUGGAUUGAAGGGGAACUCCCUCUUCUGGUGACUUUCUGAAUGUGCAAUCCUAAAGGAGGGUUGUGAUUGGUU
rnacentral:lncRNA from 13 species